rnacentral:pre_miRNA from 1 species
GCGCUCCUAGACUCUGUGGGGAACCUGACGGGCCUCCAAAGUCUGCACUUGGGCUGGUGGUCCACUGUUCGAGCGCUCCCAGACUCCGUGGGGAACCUGACGGGCCUCCAAAGUCUCGACUUGGGCUGGUGC